rnacentral:rRNA from 1 species
UUAAGUUAUUAAGGGCGCACGGUGGAUGCCUUGGCACUAGAAGCCGAUGAAGGACGUUACUAACGACGAUAUGCUUUGGGGAGCUGUAAGUAAGCUUUGAUCCAGAGAUUUCCGAAUGGGGAAACCCAGCAUGAGUUAUGUCAUGUUAUCGAUAUGUGAAUACAUAGCAUAUCAGAAGGCACACCCGGAGAACUGAAACAUCUUAGUACCCGGAGGAAGAGAAAGAAAAUUCGAUUCCCUUAGUAGCGGCGAGCGAAACGGGAAGAGCCCAAACCAACAAGCUUGCUUGUUGGGGUUGUAGGACACUCUAUACGGAGUUACAAAGGACGACAUUAGACGAAUCAUCUGGAAAGAUGAAUCAAAGAAGGUAAUAAUCCUGUAGUCGAAAAUGUUGUCUCUCUUGAGUGGAUCCUGAGUACGACGGAGCACGUGAAAUUCCGUCGGAAUCUGGGAGGACCAUCUCCUAAGGCUAAAUACUCUCUAGUGACCGAUAGUGAACCAGUACCGUGAGGGAAAGGUGAAAAGCACCCCGGAAGGGGAGUGAAAUAGAACCUGAAACCGUGUGCUUACAAGUAGUCAGAGCCCGUUAAUGGGUGAUGGCGUGCCUUUUGUAGAAUGAACCGGCGAGUUACGAUUUGAUGCAAGGUUAAGCAGUAAAUGUGGAGCCGUAGCGAAAGCGAGUCUGAAUAGGGCGUUUAGUAUUUGGUCGUAGACCCGAAACCAGGUGAUCUACCCUUGGUCAGGUUGAAGUUCAGGUAACACUGAAUGGAGGACCGAACCGACUUACGUUGAAAAGUGAGCGGAUGAACUGAGGGUAGCGGAGAAAUUCCAAUCGAACCUGGAGAUAGCUGGUUCUCUCCGAAAUAGCUUUAGGGCUAGCCUCAAGUGAUGAUUAUUGGAGGUAGAGCACUGUUUGGACGAGGGGCCCCUCUCGGGUUACCGAAUUCAGACAAACUCCGAAUGCCAAUUAAUUUAACUUGGGAGUCAGAACAUGGGUGAUAAGGUCCGUGUUCGAAAGGGAAACAGCCCAGACCACCAGCUAAGGUCCCAAAAUAUAUGUUAAGUGGAAAAGGAUGUGGCGUUGCCCAGACAACUAGGAUGUUGGCUUAGAAGCAGCCAUCAUUUAAAGAGUGCGUAAUAGCUCACUAGUCGAGUGACACUGCGCCGAAAAUGUACCGGGGCUAAACAUAUUACCGAAGCUGUGGAUUGUCCUUUGGACAAUGGUAGGAGAGCGUUCUAAGGGCGUUGAAGCAUGAUCGUAAGGACAUGUGGAGCGCUUAGAAGUGAGAAUGCCGGUGUGAGUAGCGAAAGACGGGUGAGAAUCCCGUCCACCGAUUGACUAAGGUUUCCAGAGGAAGGCUCGUCCGCUCUGGGUUAGUCGGGUCCUAAGCUGAGGCCGACAGGCGUAGGCGAUGGAUAACAGGUUGAUAUUCCUGUACCACCUAUAAUCGUUUUAAUCGAUGGGGGGACGCAGUAGGAUAGGCGAAGCGUGCGAUUGGAUUGCACGUCUAAGCAGUAAGGCUGAGUAUUAGGCAAAUCCGGUACUCGUUAAGGCUGAGCUGUGAUGGGGAGAAGACAUUGUGUCUUCGAGUCGUUGAUUUCACACUGCCGAGAAAAGCCUCUAGAUAGAAAAUAGGNNNNNNNNNNNNNNNNNNNNNNNNNNNNNNNNNNNNNNNNNNNNNNNNNNNNCCAGAAGAGCCGCAGUGAAUAGGCCCAAGCGACUGUUUAUCAAAAACACAGGUCUCUGCUAAACCGUAAGGUGAUGUAUAGGGGCUGACGCCUGCCCGGUGCUGGAAGGUUAAGAGGAGUGGUUAGCUUCUGCGAAGCUACGAAUCGAAGCCCCAGUAAACGGCGGCCGUAACUAUAACGGUCCUAAGGUAGCGAAAUUCCUUGUCGGGUAAGUUCCGACCCGCACGAAAGGCGUAACGAUUUGGGCACUGUCUCAACGAGAGACUCGGUGAAAUCAUAGUACCUGUGAAGAUGCAGGUUACCCGCGACAGGACGGAAAGACCCCGUGGAGCUUUACUGUAGCCUGAUAUUGAAAUUCGGCACAGCUUGUACAGGAUAGGUAGGAGCCUUUGAAACGUGAGCGCUAGCUUACGUGGAGGCGCUGGUGGGAUACUACCCUAGCUGUGUUGGCUUUCUAACCCGCACCACUUAUCGUGGUGGGAGACAGUGUCAGGCGGGCAGUUUGACUGGGGCGGUCGCCUCCUAAAAGGUAACGGAGGCGCUCAAAGGUUCCCUCAGAAUGGUUGGAAAUCAUUCAUAGAGUGUAAAGGCAUAAGGGAGCUUGACUGCGAGACCUACAAGUCGAGCAGGGUCGAAAGACGGACUUAGUGAUCCGGUGGUUCCGCAUGGAAGGGCCAUCGCUCAACGGAUAAAAGCUACCCCGGGGAUAACAGGCUUAUCUCCCCCAAGAGUUCACAUCGACGGGGAGGUUUGGCACCUCGAUGUCGGCUCAUCGCAUCCUGGGGCUGUAGUCGGUCCCAAGGGUUGGGCUGUUCGCCCAUUAAAGCGGUACGCGAGCUGGGUUCAGAACGUCGUGAGACAGUUCGGUCCCUAUCCGUCGUGGGCGUAGGAAAUUUGAGAGGAGCUGUCCUUAGUACGAGAGGACCGGGAUGGACAUACCUCUGGUGUACCAGUUGUCGUGCCAACGGCAUAGCUGGGUAGCUAUGUGUGGACGGGAUAAGUGCUGAAAGCAUCUAAGCAUGAAGCCCCCCUCAAGAUGAGAUUUCCCAACUUCGGUUAUAAGAUCCCUCAAAGAUGAUGAGGUUAAUAGGUUCGAGGUGGAAGCAUGGUGACAUGUGGAGCUGACGAAUACUAAUCGAUCGAAGACUUAAUCAA